AGUGAACGCUGGCGGCAGGCCUAACACAUGCAAGUCGAGCGGCAGCGCGGGUGUAGCAAUACAUCUGGCGGCGAGCGGCGGACGGGUGAGGAAUACAUCGGAAUUUACCCAAUCGUGGGGGAUAACGUAGGGAAACUUACGCUAAUACCGCAUGAACUGGAGACAGCAAAGCGGCGGACCGAAAGGCGUCGCGCGGUUGGAUGAGCCGAUGUCGGAUUAGCUAGUGGCGGGGUAAAGGCCCACCAAGGCGACGAUCCGUAGCUGGUCUGAGAGGAUGAUCAGCCACACUGGAACUGAGACACGGUCCAGACUCCUACGGGAGGCAGCAGUGGGGAAUAUUGGACAAUGGGCGCAAGCCUGAUCCAGCCAUGCCGCGUGUGUGAAGAAGGCC
rnacentral:rRNA from 1 species